AUGAUGGUCACCGGCAAGGCUCUGAUGAUACUGGUUGCAGUGUUUAUUAUCUGCACCGGCGGCGGCCUGGUGAUCUCGCCGGCGGCCGCGGAGGAGGUGCCCCUGGUGCCGGCGGUGAACGUGUUCGGCGACUCGACCAUGGACGUGGGCAACAACAAGUUCCUGGGGAACUUUACGCCGUCGUUUCCUUACGGCGUCGACCUCCCGCUGGGCAUCGAACCCAGGUUCAGCAACGGAUACAACAUGGCCGACUCCAUCUCGAAGCUGUUGGGUUUCAAUAUGAGCCCGCCGGCUUACCUGUCGCUGACGCCGGAGACGAGCGUUGAGAUCCUGAAAGGCUUGGGUGGAGUCAACUACGCUUCCGGUGGAUCCGGCAUUCUCGACAUCACUGGGAAUGCCUCCCUCCCGUUGAGCAAGCAGGUAGAGUACUUCGCGGACACCAAGGCAAACAUGACAGAGGAAAGCGGCGGCAAUAGCACCGAGAUCGAUGCGCUGCUGUCCAGGUCGCUCUUCCUCAUUAGCGACGGCGGCAACGAUAUGUUUGAGUUCGUCUUGAAGGGACGGCCAAUCAUUGAGUUCGAGUCCUUCCACCGGGACCUUCUGUCCAACUACACCAAGUAUGUCCAGACGCUGUAUGGGCUCGGGGCGCGGCGUUUCGGUCUCAUCGACGUGCCGCCUGUCGGCUGCGUGCCGAUGAUGCGGGCGAUAUUCUUCCGGAGUUUCGGUCUUGACGGCUGCUUAUUCCCCGCAAGCGACCUCGCAAGGGGCUUCAACAAAAAGUUGAGCAUCGAGAUGGCGGAGCUCGCCGCGUCGCUGCCCGGGAAGAGGUACUCCGUGGGGAGCUCCUACAAGCUGGUGACCAGCUACACGGCGCACCCGGAGGCCGCCGGGUUCGACGAUGUGAAGAGCGCGUGCUGCGGCAGCGGGAUGUUCGGCAUGGAGACCUCGUGCGUGCCCGAUGUCACCACCUGCCCCAACCACGAUGACCAUCUCUUCUGGGACGCGGUGCACUGCACACAGGCCACCUCCAACAAGGGCGCCAAAGCCAUCUAUGACGCGCCGCUGGAGGACGGAUUCGCCGCACCCAACAAUUUCAAGCAGCUGCUUCUUGAUGAUCAACCCACAAGCGUCAGCCGUUAA
rnacentral:rRNA from 1 species